rnacentral:rRNA from 1 species
AACGAACGCUGGCGGCAUGCCUAACACAUGCAAGUCGAACGAGACCUUCGGGUCUAGUGGCGCACGGGUGCGUAACGCGUGGGAACCUGCCCUUAGGCUCGGAAUAACUCCCCGAAAGGGGUGCUAACACCGGAUAAUGUCCUCGGACCAAAGAUUUAUCGCCUUUGGAUGGGCCCGCGUUGGAUUAGCUAGUUGGUAGGGUAAAAGCCUACCAAGGCGACGAUCCAUAGCUGGUCUGAGAGGAUGAUCAGCCACACUGGGACUGGGACACGGCCCAGACUCCUACAGGAGGCAGCAGUGGGGAAUAUUGGACAAUGGGCGAAAGCCUGAUCCAGCAAUGCCGCGUGAGUGAUGAAGGCCUUAGGGUUGUAAAGCUCUUUUACCCGGGAUGAUAAUGACAGUACCGGGAGAAUAAGCUCCGGCUAACUCCGUG